rnacentral:rRNA from 1 species
AGAGUUUGAUCAUGGCUCAGAUUGAACGCUGGCGGCAGGCCUAACACAUGCAAGUCGAGCGGUAGAGAGAAGCUUGCUUCUCUUGAGAGCGGCGGACGGGUGAGUAAUACCUAGGAAUCUGCCUGAUAGUGGGGGAUAACGUUCGGAAACGGACGCUAAUACCGCAUACGUCCUACGGGAGAAAGCAGGGGACCUUCGGGCCUUGCGCUAUCAGAUGAGCCUAGGUCGGAUUAGCUAGUUGGUGAGGUAAUGGCUCACCAAGGCUACGAUCCGUAACUGGUCUGAGAGGAUGAUCAGUCACACUGGAACUGAGACACGGUCCAGACUCCUACGGGAGGCAGCAGUGGGGAAUAUUGGACAAUGGGCGAAAGCCUGAUCCAGCCAUGCCGCGUGUGUGAAGAAGGUCUUCGGAUUGUAAAGCACUUUAAGUUGGGAGGAAGGGCAGUUACCUAAUACGUGAUUGUCUUGACGUUACCGACAGAAUAAGCACCGGCUAACUCUGUGCCAGCAGCCGCGGUAAUACAGAGGGUGCAAGCGUUAAUCGGAAUUACUGGGCGUAAAGCGCGCGUAGGUGGUUUGUUAAGUUGAAUGUGAAAUCCCCGGGCUCAACCUGGGAACUGCAUCCAAAACUGGCAAGCUAGAGUAUGGUAGAGGGUAGUGGAAUUUCCUGUGUAGCGGUGAAAUGCGUAGAUAUAGGAAGGAACACCAGUGGCGAAGGCGACUACCUGGACUGAUACUGACACUGAGGUGCGAAAGCGUGGGGAGCAAACAGGAUUAGAUACCCUGGUAGUCC